ACGGAUACGUGGCGACUCUAGUGAAAAUGUGCGCGCCGGUCUGUGUGUCGGUAAAAGCUGUAGAGUUGUUAUUCGAUUCAGCUGUCUGAGAAGCGCAUGUUCCACGGAUGCAGAGUUUUACGCGGUCGGAGCUGCUUAAGAUAUUUUUGUAUCUGGAAGUGUAACAUAAAGAUAUGUUUUGAUCAGGUAAAUAUAACGCUAGAUUCAGCAUAAAUUGUCGGCGAGCAUGGAUGUGAUGGUGCAACACAGGGGAAAUGGACUGUGACGAAUAACAAGAAGCAACAGCAGGAGGGCGAAAUAAAGAAGGACAGGAAGAAGAAGAAGAAGAAGCGCGUGAAUGUGUCAAAUAUGUAAAAAACAUUAUUGUAGGUUAGACGCGAGAAGAUUUGAAACAAGUAAGAAAGGAAUGAAAAGAGAAAAGUAAUUGAGCUUUAUUUGCGAAGUGGGAAUAGAAUAGAUAAUAGGUAAUAUGUAAUGCAAUAUAAUUUUGUGGAUGAUAGAAGAACUGAUUUAUUUGGAUUCUAGAAGACUAAAGAAUAGGUAAAGAUGCAUUUAGGAGAUA